rnacentral:lncRNA from 1 species
CUACAAAAAGAGUCUGGGCAGGGUAGUGCAUCCCUUUAAUCCCAGCACUUGGGAGGCAGAGGCAGGCAGUUCUCUGAGUUCAAGGCCAGCCUGGUCUACAGAGUGAGUUCUAGAACAGUCAGGGCUUUUAACAAAGUAAACCCUGUCUCGAAAGAGAAGGGAAAAAUAUUUUUUUGUUUUUUACAAUUUUCUCUGGUUAUCGCUAAGGUAAGUCAGUACUCAUUGUGCCUGUCUGAUUACCAUAUGACCCAGCAAUACUGUACUGCCUCCCUUUAGAAGUUCUGUAAGCAAAGAAAACUUUUAAAUAUGCGUAAAGGUAAAGGCAAGUGGGAUCAGAAGUUCAAGGUCAGCUUUGGCUACAUAGCAAAUUGGAGGCCAGUCUAAACUACAAAAGAUUCUAAAGGAAAAGCACUUGAUUAAUGUUCUUUUUGGUUGGGCUUGGGAUUGAACCUGGCGCUUGCUUUAUGCAUGCUAGGCAAAGCCUUUUCAUCAUAGCCAAAUAUAGAAAAACUGUAGAUGUUUGUUCUGCAGAGCGAACAUGUAAAUACACUGUGUGCACAGAGAGACAUGUGCAGACAUGGAGUGAAAGCAGUAUGUGAGGGUGUUUGGUCACGGACACCCUGACUGAAAGAGCGAGACACAAGGACAGGUUUGAUCCCACCUGCAUAAUGUACCCAUAAUGUAUGAAUUCACAAAGAUAAGAGCAAACUGGUGCUUGCCAGGCUCUGACUACACAGAAGCUGUUAAAGGAGUCUUGAGUUCCGCUGUAGGGAAUUGGAAGACUUGAGGUCAGAAAGAGGAAGUGAUUGUCCGUAGUGCAGAAUAUUAAAUACUACUGUAUCAAAGGGUUUUUGCUAUGUGGACUUCACUUCAAUAAAAAACAGUUGCUUGCUUUAU